AUUGAACGCUGGCGGCAGGCUUAACACAUGCAAGUCGAGCGGGCGAGGUUGCUUCGGUAACUGAGCUAGCGGCGGACGGGUGAGUAAUGCUUAGGAAUCUGCCUAUUAGUGGGGGACAACAUUCCGAAAGGAAUGCUAAUACCGCAUACGCCCUACGGGGGAAAGCAGGGGAUCUUCGGACCUUGCGCGAAUAGAUGAGCCUAAGUCAGAUUAGCUAGUUGGUGGGGUAAAGGCCUACCAAGGCGACGAUCUGUAGCGGGUCUGAGAGGAUGAUCCGCCACACUGGGACUGAGACACGGCCCAGACUCCUACGGGAGGCAGCAGUGGGGAAUAUUGGACAAUGGGCGGGAGCCUGAUCCAGCCAUGCCGCGUGUGUGAAGAAGGCCUUUUGGUUGUAAAGCACUUUAAGCGAGGAGGAGGCUACUUGGAUUAAUACUCUAGGAUAGUGGACGUUACUCGCAGAAUAAGCACCGGCUAACUCUGUGCCAGCAGCCGCGGUAAGAC
rnacentral:rRNA from 1 species